GUGUGGUAUCCAGAGCAAAUAUUUCAGUUCUGUUUGUCUGGCCCAGUAGGAUUCUAUCGUCUGCCACAGGGCGGGUUCUGUUCGAUGUGGGUCGUCAAGACAGACGCAACUAUGGCUGCUCUGUAAUAUAAUCUGAUGUUGGGUAAACCGAGUCCCCCCACUUCCACUGAACGAUGGAGAAUCUUAGUUGCCACUCUAACUCUCU